rnacentral:rRNA from 1 species
GACGAACGCUGGCGGCGUGCCUAAUACAUGCAAGUCGAACGCAGUGGGGACGGGUGAGUAACACGUGGGUAACCUCCCAUCAGAGGGGAUAACACUUGGAAACAGGUGCUAAACCGAUAUUGAUGGAUGGACCCGCGGUGCAUUAGCUAGUUGGUUAGGUAACGGCUCACCAAGGCCACGAUGCAUAGCGGAGCUGGGAGGGUGGUCGGCCACGCGGGAAGUGGGGAACGGCCAAGGGUCCUGCGGGAGGCAGCAGUAGGGAAUCUGCGGCAAUGGACGAAAGUCUGGCCGGGCCACGACGCGGAGGAGAGAAGGGUUUACGGAUCGGAAGACUGUGAUGUAAGGGAAGAGGUAUCUGACAAGAAAGCCACGGCUAACUACGUGCCAGCAGCCGCGGUAAUUC